CGCCCCUCCCUCGCGCGGCGGCCGGGCGCAGCGGCAGGAUGAAGGACCGGACCGGGGAGCUGCGCGCCGCAAAGGACAGUGACGACGAUGAUGAAGUCACCGUCAGUGUGGACCGGGACCGCUUCAUGGAUGAGUUCUUUGAGCAGGUGGAAGAAAUUCGAGGGUUCAUCGAUAAGAUUUCAGAGAACGUGGAGGAAGUGAAGAGGAAGCACAGUGCCAUACUUGCCUCACCCAACCCUGACGAGAAAACGAAGGAGGAGCUGGAAGAGCUGAUGUCUGACAUAAAGAAGACGGCAAACAAAGUACGCUCCAAGCUAAAGAGUAUUGAGCAGAGCAUUGAACAAGAGGAAGGACUGAACAGGUCAUCUGCUGACUUGCGGAUAAGGAAAACUCAGCACUCAACGCUGUCACGCAAGUUUGUGGAGGUGAUGUCCGAGUACAACGCCACGCAGACUGACUACCGGGAGCGCUGCAAGGGCAGGAUCCAGAGGCAGCUGGAGAUCACUGGGAGGACCACCACCAGCGAGGAGCUGGAGGACAUGCUGGAGAGCGGCAACCCGGCCAUCUUCUCCUCUGGGAUCAUCAUGGAUUCAAACAUCACCAAGCAGGCACUGAAUGAGAUUGAGACACGGCACAGCGAGAUCAUCAAACUGGAGAACAGCAUCCGAGAGCUGCACGACAUGUUCAUGGACAUGGCCAUGCUGGUGGAGAGCCAGGUAGGGAGACACUGCGGCCCUGUGGCUGGCUUGCCUCGAGAGGUUGAAGGAUGAUGGGGCUGCCUGGGUGGGUCCUGAGAGGAAAAACUGCAUCUGGGACUGGUGUGGGUCCCACUGGGGCUGAGCUGGGCUCCUCAGCACCACUGAGCCUGCACCCCAGAGCCGGGGGCUGCGGCAUGCAUGGGGCAAGAGGUUCGGUGAUGGGCUCUGGAGGAGGGUAGCGGGUGGCUGCCGGGCAGCUGGAGAGUCUCCAUCUCCUCUGGAGCACUGGGCCCUGCUGGCUGAGCUCGGGGUGCCACCAGACGUGGUCCUGCCAGGCUGCCCCUGGCCGUGCCGCCGGCCCGCAGUGCUCGGCCCUUGAGCUGGGCACGUGUUCCGGUGUCUCUGCUCACCCCACUUCUUGCCCGCCAUGCUGCCAUGGCCCGAGGAGACAUCAGUGGCAGGGCUGCUGGGCAGGGCAACGUCCACACGGUGCUGGGGAGCAGCAGAGCAGGAAGGAGCUCACGUCUGCGUGCGUGCGGGCACGUGGGCUCUGUCCCCGUUCUGCAGGGCGAGAUGAUUGACCGCAUCGAGUACAACGUGGAGCACUCAGUGGACUACGUGGAGAGGGCUGUGUCCGACACCAAAAAAGCAGUGAAGUACCAGAGCAAAGCCAGACGGAAGAAGAUCAUGAUCAUUAUCUGCUGCGUGAUCCUGGGCAUCGUCAUCGCCUCCACCUUCGGUGGCAUUUUCGGCUAGACUCACCCCACGGGACUGUUUGUGUGCGAUGGACGGAGCUGCGUGUGCCGUGGGGCCGCAGCCGCACUGGAGCAAACCACGCAGCCCCGGAGCCUCCCAGCAGCAUUUCAGUUUCUAAUGCAUGGUUGUUUGUGACGCUGUGUGUGCGGUGCGGUGCGUCUGUAUGGAGGGAGCGCCGGCCCCGGGGCGUAGGCAGGGUGCAGGGGAUGGUGAUGGGCAGGAGGGGGACCCUGGGGGGGAACCCGAGUUCUCAUCACUGCUCCAGCCUUCAUGGCUGGCUGGGGACAGGGGUGCCCUUGGGCACUGCUGCUCCUCCUGUGCUGGGCAGUCUGCAUUAGUGACAACCAAGGAUGCAGGGUGUCAGGGCUCCUCAGGAGCACAGUGCCCAGUAAACCUCCCCCAGCUUCCCCAUCACCUCCAGCCAGAGCUCUCAUGUCAGCUGUGUCUGUGCUCGCAAACACCUUUCCUUGGGCUGCUUCUCUCACGGGAUCCUUCCCCAGGGGUGUGCUCUGCCGGGCCCUGCCUGCCCUGUCCCUGCCUGUCCUGUGGCUGUGCCUGGCUGUGGGGCUCUAUCCCUGCUGCCCCUCUGAGGCAAACCCUCGCCCCAGUGUGUGUGCCAGGGGCCAGAUGUUCCGCUGCUGACAGGGGGUGCCUGAUGGAGCAGCGUAGGAUAGGGAGCUGCUGCUUUGGGCCAUUACAGUUGCCUGGGGAUGGGGACAGGACACAUGGGAUCAUGCGCUGCACACUGGUGCUGGCCAGGCAGGGCAGGAGGGCGCAGGUACUUUAAGGCCAGCACGUUUCACUGGUUGCUCUGCCUGCACCAGCGCCUCAUCAUUCUCUGUCAGCCCUGGCACACCGUGGCCCUGGAGGCCUGGGCUCCGUCUGCUGGGGUUUGGGGCCAGCUCUGAUGCCCGCAGUCCCUGGCAGCACUUGCCUGUGAGCAGGGCUGCAUCCAGCCUCACUUCUCCACAUAGGCGCCUAUGGCUGGGGCUGGAGGCAGCCAAACUUUCUCCUGUUGUGGUCCCCGGAGCAGCCCUUGUUGUAUCCACACCCCUGCUGGCUAAGAGGAGCAGCCUUCCUCCUCCUUGGUCCUAUCAGUUCUUGAGCAGGGCAGUGCCUGACUACCCAUCUCUCUGCCACCUCUUGGCACCCGCCGGCUCCUGCCACUCCUGGCAUAAGGCCCUUCUGCCUGCUCAUCCCCUGGGCCAUCCAGAGAGGACCCACACUUGGCAGGAUGCUGUGGAGGCACCUGGGUACCCUCUGCCCUCUGCUGCACCCACUGUGUGGACACAGCCACACAAGGGGCCCUGUGAUGGCACUGUGUUUUCCUCAGGCCCAGGGCAGGGCUCUGCCCUUACAUUCCUCUGUAGAUUCCAGGGUUGCAGCUGGCCCAUGCACAUGCCAAAGCACCACUGAGGAACCCAGAGCAGGGCAAGCAUUGGAAGCCACACACUGGGAUAGGGUCUGGACAUAAGCCCAGAUGCUGGUAGCAGAAAAAGGGCAGCUGAUGUCAGUGAGUACUCUAGCUGCAGGCUGCAGGUCACCUCUCUGCUCCAACCAGGGUCCCUCUGCUCCUCCACCCUGCCUGGGUGCUGCAGCACAGGAGCUGGCCCCUGUGCGUGGUGCCCAUGGCUGGGGGGGAAAGGAAGCGGGCCGUAGCCAAGACACAAUGCUACCUUAGGCACAGCCCUGCCCAGCAGCAACCCAGAUGUGGCGCUUUCCCUGCCACUGUUACCUGAGGUCCCACUGUACAGCCCCUGGUUGCAUUCAGCUGCCCUUGGGAAGCGUGUCCAGCCCAGUCCCCUGCCCAGCCCAGGGGUGCGACCAUGGGAACACCCAAGUCUGGAGCCCCCUUCUUUCACAGUCCCACAACAACGGACAUGAGCCACAGCGCUGCAGCCUGUGUGCACAAAAGGGCUUGGGGCACCGCAAGAGGGAGCAGGCCAGCUCUGGAGCCCCUCCAGGGCAGGAGACAGGCAUGAGCAGGGUCCUUGCUCUAUGGGGAAGGAGCUGAAGGUGAUGCACGAGUGCCUGCUGCUCCUGCCCCAAUACAGUUCCCUGCCACCAUACUCUGCUCUGCUGAGCCAGCAAGAACACAGGGCCCCCUCCUCUGGGAAGCAAUAACUCUGCUGGCAGGGCUGCUCCUGGGCGGGCAGGCAAAAAAGCUCCUCUCAGGCUCUCGCCCUGCAGCGAUGCCCACUGCUAGCGCAAGGUGAUCUUUUUAUCUUCCAAGCAGCGGCUUUUGUGGCACAAGCUCACAUGACAUCAGGGCUGUGGCCCACCCCCGUCAAGGCACAAGGCUAAGAACAGCACUGGGGGGCUCUGGCACUCACUCCUUCCUUGUUGGUACCACCACCACCAGCAGCCCCCCAGCAGCAGGAGCCAGAUGGGGCCACAGUCGGGAGUUCUGCCACUGGCACUUUGCUGGGAUCCUGCAGGCAGUGGUGGUGCCAGGCUCCAGCACACGGGAGGCAGAGGAGCAGGCUGCCACUGCUGCCCCACAGGCAGGUUCACACUGUCCUCGCUGUGAGGGGAGGGUGUUUUGGUGCAAUAAUUACCCCUGCACUAUGGGAAGCCCCGCUCAGUUCCUUUUUACCUACCUGUUGUUGCAUGUACAGACCAAAUCACCAACAGUGUGGUUGUGCUUUGGGGACACAUUUCACUUUUUCUUUCCAGCCCCCCACCUCAGACCGCUUGUCCUUCGGGUUACCCCACCUCUGUUCCAAGUGCCACCUGCCCUCCCAGCACCGGGAGCGUGUCGAUGCAGUAUUCCACGAGCAGUGUGGGGCACGCACAGCUUGCACUCGAACUGGGGAUUAUUUUGGGGUUUUUUUAGUAAUUAAAUGUACUUGAAAGCUUUCCAAGUCCCCCCUCCCCGUGGAGUUGUACUGUUGCUGUACUGUGAGCUAAGUGUCCUUGUUUUCUAUGUGGAUCUUGACCCUGGCUUGCUCUGUCUCACUGGGCUGGAUGACACUGUAUGUUGCCUCUUUUCUCCUUCCCCCUUUCCCUUCCUGCUAGCCUCCCCUUCUCCCAAAGCUUUGGGUGCAAAACAGCUUCCCAUUUUGUGGAAUUUUUAUGUAGAAUAAACAUUUGUAACUGUAAA